rnacentral:rRNA from 1 species
UACGGAGGGUGCGAGCGUUGUCCGGAAUCACUGGGCGUAAAGGGCGCGUAGGCGGUCGGGGAAGUCCGUGGUGAAAGCUCGUGGCUCAACUGCGAGUCGGCCAUGGAUACUCCUGGACUUGAGCACUGUAGAGGCAGGUGGAAUUCCGGGUGUAGCGGUGGAAUGCGUAGAGAUCCGGAAGAACACCGGUGGCGAAAGCGGCUUCCUGGUCCAGCACCGACGUUCAGGCACGAAAGCGUGG